CCUUGCCAACCUGGACUCAUAAUUUUUUACUAAUGGACAAAUUACAUUUUGUACUCUUUCACUCUAAUGCAAAAAGAAACAGACACAGAGAGAGAGAUAGAAAUAGUGACAUAAAUGGCCCAGAUAAUGCUAGAAAACCCCAUUUUAUGAGAAACCUUCACAAAAUCAACAGUUUCCAGAUGGUGUUUCAUAGAGAUCUAAGGAGCCAGGUAACAUCCUCUGAAGCAAGGGAAUUAGGAGAUAAAGAGAGGCUGGAGGAGCACAGUGGACGUUCGACCUCAGACUUUGACUUGCCUCAACCUACUUUACAAUUUAGGCCUCAACUAAAGACAAAAUGUGAAGAUGCUUUGGAAAAUUUUCUGAGUCCCAUUUGAAUCCUAUGGAGUUAGACCCUAUAUAGAAACCAUAUUCAGAAUCCAUAUUCAGGAGACCUCUCCUCUCAGAUAAUUUGAUUAAGUGCAAUUA
rnacentral:lncRNA from 1 species